GCGGCCGAUAUCGGAUUAGCUUGUUGGUGAGGUAAAGGCUCACCAAGGCGACGAUCCGUAGCGGGUCUGAGAGGACGACCCGCCACACUGGAACUGAGACACGGUCCAGACUCCUACGGGAGGCAGCAGUGGGGAAUUUUGGACAAUGGGGGCAACCCUGAUCCAGCCAUCCCGCGUGAGUGAAGAAGGCCUUCGGGUUGUAAAGCUCUUUCAGCAGGAACGAAACGGUGAGGGUUAAUACCCUUUACUAAUGACGGUACCUGAAGAAGAAGCACCGGCUAACUACGUGCCAGCAGCCGCGGUAAUACGUAGGGUGCGAGCGUUAAUCGGAAUUACUGGGCGUAAAGCGUGCGCAGGCGGUUAUGUAAGACAGGUGUGAAAUCCCCGGGCUCAACCUGGGAACUGCGCUUGUGACUGCAUAACUUGAGUGUGGCAGAGGGGGGUGGAAUUCCACGUGUAGCAGUGAAAUGCGUAGAGAUGUGGAGGAACACCGAUGGCGAAGGCAGCCCCCUGGGUCAACACUGACGCUCAUGCACGAAAGCGUGGGGAGCAAACAGGAUUAGAUACCCUGGUAGUCCACGCCCUAAACGAUGCGAACUAGGUGUUGGGGAAGGAGACUUUCUUAGUACCGCAGCUAACGCGUGAAGUUCGCCGCCUGGGGAGUACGGUCGCAAGAUUAAAACUCAAAGGAAUUGACGGGGACCCGCACAAGCGGUGGAUGAUGUGGAUUAAUUCGAUGCAACGCGAAAAACCUUACCUACCCUUGACAUGUCAGGAAGUCUGCUGAGAGGUGGAUGUGCUCGAAAGAGAACCUGAACACAGGUGCUGCAUGGCUGUCGUCAGCUCGUGUCGUGAGAUGUUGGGUUAAGUCCCGCAACGAGCGCAACCCUUGUCAUUAAUUGCCAUCAUUCAGUUGGGCACUUUAAUGAGACUGCCGGUGACAAACCGGAGGAAGGUGGGGAUGACGUCAAGUCCUCAUGGCCCUUAUGGGUAGGGCUUCACACGUCAUACAAUGGUCGGUACAGAGGGUCGCCAACCCGCGAGGGGGAGCCAAUCCCACAAAGCCGAUCGUAGUCCGGAUCGCAGUCUGCAACUCGACUGCGUGAAGUCGGAAUCGCUAGUAAUCGUUGAUCAGCAUGUCACGGUGAAUACGUUCCCGGGUCUUGUACACACCGCCCGUCACACCAUGGGAGUGGGUUCCACCAGAAGUAGGUAGUCUAACCGCAAGGAGGGCGCUUACCACGGUGGGAUUCAUGACUGGGGUGAAGUCGUAACAAGGUA
rnacentral:rRNA from 1 species